rnacentral:lncRNA from 1 species
GGAAUUAUCUACAAUAUCUUGCCAAAAAAGGCGUGGCGUGGCACUGAUUGGUUAUUUUCAAUUCACAACUAGCUGUAUAAAACUGAUAAACUAGCUCACUUGCUACGAAAUCAAUUAAAGUUUUUAAAGUAUGGAAGACCAAUCAACGUAAAAGGUAAGCAAACAUGCGAAUUUAAAAGAUGAUCAGUAUUAAUACUAAGGAGAGAAAAGUAGUUCGAAUAUAAAAAUAAGAAGAUGUGGUAUGAUGGCCAAUGAGACAAUGAGAUAAACCUAAUCAACAUAGUUGGCUUUAAAAGGUCAUUGGCACUCACACCACAUCUUUCUAUAUCUAUUUACAUAAAAAUUGUGUAGAAAUUCAAUUAAGAAAAUUAACGGCAGUCAACUACUGUGAUGACAUUUAAUCAAAUUCAAUUUUAUUUUCAGUUUUCUUUUGCAACUUGUUAUCUUUCAAAUGUUUAUAAUGAAACAAUACCAUUUUCAAUUACUGUAAAUUCAGAAAUUAUUGCGAUGUUUUUAUUAUUGCGAAAAUUGCGACAGGGUUAUAAUCGCAAUAAUUUAAACUCGCAUUUUGAAAUUUAGUAUUUAACUUUAAAUAGGAUUUUUCUCAAUAUCGCAAAAAUAAAAAUCGCAUAUUACUCUAUAAUGACAAAAUCGCAAUAAUAAAUGCACGCAAUAAUUUCUGAAUUUACAGCUAUUGAGCCAGUCAGUUUCUUGGGACUCUUUUUCAAUACAGGUUGAAAUAUUACUACUUUUUUUGUUGGUAUUUAGUUAAAAAGCUUUAGUAUUUUCUUCAUGGUGAUGAAUGAACUGAUAAUUUUAUUGGUGAUGAAAGAACUGAUAAUAUUAAAAUACCUUGUAUAAUCAAUAUAUCAAACGUUUGAUUUAGAUGUUAAAAAAUUUCUUCUGUCUUAAUUCAAAAUAUUUGCUCCUGCUGGAACAUAAUAUUGCAUUUCCCACUAAAUAACUUCAGAUAAAUAAACGUAUCCAACAACUUUUCUCUUGAAAGCAAAAUCAAAUAAUGUUCAAAUGUACUCUUCAAUAAGACUAUGAUAAAAAAAUUUAGCAUUGGCUCUACAAAUUUCAAUAGUUAAGAGUUGAAAAGGAAUUCAAACUUCACCUAAGACAGACGUUUUAGCCGCCAAUUGUUACGAAGAGCAAGAGAUAAAAUCUAUAACAAAUAUCUAUUUUACUCAAGACAGUUACCAAUACUCCUUUUUUUCAACAGACAAUGUCAAAUAUUAGCAAAAGUUACAACAUACAGAUCAUGUUUUGCAAGUUCUAGAGGUAAGUGUUUCCCCUUUCUAUUCUCAUGUAGCAGAAGCUUAUUAAACUUUACUUUGAAGACGAUAUAUCCUCACUGAUGAAUGUACCUAAGUAAAAAAUUAGCUAAGAUUAAUUGACAGAUGUUUACAAGAAAGACUGUGGUGAAUCGAAACUAAUGUUAUCUAACAAUUUCAGCUCUUUUUUGGUUGAUCACUAGAAAGGUCGAAUGUACUCAUUAUGCAUUUUUAUUUCUUAUAUAAAGUAUUAACAAAACACUUUAGCGAUCAACAAAAUAGUUGAGAUUUUACAAAUAUACUGCCUGGAUUUCAAUGAGACUCAUUUGCUAUAAAAUCUAUGAUCACUAUAUCUAAAUUGUAUUGCUGUUUGUAGUUUACUUUUGUUUUUUAUUAUUAUGGAACCACUGCAUUAAGCUUAUUGAAACGCAAAGACGUGUGUGAAAUACUUUUGAAUAAACAAAUUAUCUAUAUCAGUGGGACAAUUAAUAUUCUAGUAUUUUUGCAUGUUUUUUUCUUCUAUCAGUCUGAGCGUUAAUGAUGAAAAUCAAUCCAAAAAAGCGCUUUUGUGGCAUUUGGUUUAUAAUUACAAAGUAAUUAGGAAUAUUGUAUACAAUGUGUGUAUUGACCAUUUUUUUAUUCAAAAUAAGGAACAUUUCGUAACAACCCAAUAAUUAAGGAAGUCAGCAAACAACAAAAGAAAAACAUUUCUUUUAUCAAAAGCAACUGCCCGUGUUCGGAGAGCGCCUCAUCAUAGCAUUUUUCGUGUUAAGGGAAUAUUUCCGACAAAAUGUAACCGGAAUCUCUCUUAAAUGGAAUUCGCUUCAGAGUAUCAUAAUGUUUUGUAUCCACUCAUCUGCUUAAAGAGACAGAGCGAUAGAAAGAGAGAAAUGUGUAGUAAGCCAUGUUGUAGAAAGUUGAUCUAUUGUCAUAAAAAUUCAUAAUAUCAAAUAAAAUUAGUAGAUAUGGGUUACUUAGUUCCAUUCAUUGAAAAAAGUAACAUUCAGUUUUAGUAGGAAUUUGUUUUGACUUUAAUUAAGCUCAAAUUAGAUUUGUUUGCUGGCUCCUCUUUGUGACUAAUGUAAGAUUACUAUGGUUAGUGUGUUUGUGUGUUUGAGUUAAGGGUGUCCCAUCAUACAUUGUAUUUGUCUUUAAGGAACCAAGUAAUGCAAUUACAUUUAAGUUAUAUGUCUGCUUCGUUUGAAUUCAGACAUAAUCAUAUUCACCAUAUUAAACAAUAAAUGCUUUGAUAAGAAGCAGAAUCACUGCUGUUGUUAGUUAGAUGAUGUAGACAAAAUUUAAAUUGUAUCAAUUAAUUAAUCAGUGUAUCCAUGACAGCAGAAUGACUACAUGUGUCUAAUAACACGUGUAAUGUUCACCUGAAUGUUUUACCUCAUUAAAAAAAGACAGGAUACUGUAGGCAAAUGCACUGUUACAGUUAUUUGUCUCACUAAACAAAGUCUAUUGCGGGUGAGGUGGUUAAGAAUGACCGUAAUGUCCCAUCUAAAUGAUGCAUGGUUGGUGUGAUAGUUUCUUGUAUGUAACUGAAUAAUAUUUAACAAAAAUCAUAAAAGGUUCUUUAUAUUGAUUUUAAACGCUUCAAAACAAAUAAAUGAAUUUCUACAGUAUUGUCUUUAAGAAACCAAUAACAAAAACUGAAUCUAGUGAAUUUUUAAAUUUUGUGAUGAUUUAAAAUUAAAUCGAAUAAUUAUACGUAAAUAUUAAAUUACGAACCUGUUCAAGGGAGAAAUUACUGGCAUAGCUUCAAUUGACUUUUUCGAAUUGGAACAUAGUACAAAGGAAUAGCACUCUUGCAUACAAAUGGCACAUAAGUGUAUUUGUGCUCAACCUUCAAUGAAUAUUCUAAUUUUUUUAUAUAACCAAAAGCUGUUAAUCUAUAGGGUAUUGACGACUAAUGAAUGCUAACCCACAAUAAAGCAUAAUUGUUUGAAAUGUUUUAAAACUUCAGCAGAAAAUGCCCGAACUACUUGACUUUCAUACCUCAUAAUAACGUGGUUACACAAUAAUAUAAUAUAGUAGUUAAAGAUUAUUUGAUAAUCAUAGUGUAAGAAUCAAUAAAGAUCGUAUGCUUGCAUUAACUUACCCAAAUACACUUUAAAUUAAAGCAUGAUCAUUUUGAAUUUGUUUAUUAAUUUUAUCCAUAUCUUUUGUAAUAUUAUCACAAUUGCCUGUUAAGAUCCGACUAAAUACCCAUAUCCCGAUAUUGUCAGGUAAAUACGCUACAUGUUGUUGGUUUAUUGUGGUUUACAAUAAUUUAUAUAACAGCACUCACUUCCUUGUGACAAUCCUUUUAGGUUGCAUUUUGUAAAUUCAGAUGUUUCAAAACCAUGAUAUAUAACAUUCAAAGAUGGUUGUUUGUUUUGUUUAAGUACUUGUUCCGAGAUAGGAUCUAUAUGUAUCUUCUUAUAUAGACCUAACUUAGAAAUGUUACUAGUAUAAAUAAGUAUAAUUUGCGACCGCUUAGAAUUCUGAGGUCGACCUUAAGUGAAUUUAGGGGUAGUAAAGAAUUAUUUCAGUAUAAGUGUAAACUCAAACGUAAAUUGAAAAUAUGCCGCACAACCCUACAUUUUGACCUUUGAAAAAAAUAGUCGUGCAUAUGAGCUUUCUAUUCCAGUAUAUAUUUAUUUGUUUGAAACUUCAUAAUAAAAGUGGUAAAGUUUACGGCUGUAAUAGGAGUUGCUUUUUUGAAAUUGCAUUGUCUAUAUUUACAGAAAUGCAACCUAUAUUGGGUGAAAAGGAGAACCUGUAAAAUUUCACUAAAUCUGAUUUCCAUUCAGAGUUUUUUAAUGAAAUAAAGAUUGAGAAAUCAUUGGUCGUCAAUCUGAUAACUAAGCAUGCAUCACAGUUUAUAAUUUGUAUAGUUUACACACAGCCCUAUAUGCAAAGUUAAUUCAUAAUAUAUGCUCAUCUGUAAUUUAAAUAAAUUGUUAAUUCGGAGAAUUUGAGGCCACAGGGACAAUAAACAGAGACAAUUCCUUAACCCUGGGUCAUAAAACAGAUUAUUUAGGCUUUAAAGGCAAUUUUCUUAUCAUUAUAAAGGUCUUUCAUAUAGAAAAUAUUAACUGUGCUUUGAAUUUAUGCACAAAAAAAAGAUUCCAGAAGACAGUUCUAUAAAUGUUUUAGUGAAUUCAUAUAUAAGACUUGUAACUUUAUGCAUACAAUUUUGUAGAUAAAGCUUUGAUUAAACACUUCUAGUCAUGUAUUAGCCAACUUCAUUUCGAUAUAUUGCAAGAGAUAAUAUUGUCAUGACAAGAAUUUUUCACUAUCCAUUUAUGGCAGAAAAUAAAAUCUUAAAAAAUAAAUAGGCAUGUGGAUUGGAGACAGAACAGGAUUUUAUACUUUAUAUUAUCUUGAAUGUUGUAAUGAUUAACAACUAAACUUAAUAUUUAUAGUAUUCUGAAAUGGUUUCAAUUUGUUAUCAGAAUUCUUUCAUAGAGGUUCUAUGAAUAUCAUGUCAGAAAACAUGCACAUCGGUUAUAAGUGACAUUGGUUUAAGUCUUGCUUUAAAAUUCUUAACAAACAAUUGAUAUAGGAUUGAGGGUAUAAAAUGAACUGUAAAAGAAAAGUUAGUGCAUAUGCUUUGAUUUCUUUUAGUCUAUGAUUCUGAUUAAUAAAUAUUAUUGUGAGAAAAGGUAUUUUUUAAGAGUUACCUGUUUGAAUACAUGUUGGUAAAGCUCCUUGAUUGAAAAAUCUAUUUUUAUAAAAUUUUAUUAAUAACUGAUAAACAAUGCCAAGCUUACAAUUUUGAGGAUUUCUUGAACAAAAGACUCAUAAGUGAAACUUUAACCAUAUUAAGUAAAAAGUGGGGAAAACGAAGUACUGAGUUGAGGAUCAUUGCGGAGGACCUGCAAUUUUAGAAGGAUUUGGUCAAAUAUAGCAAAGGUAAUAUAUUCCUUAGGAAAACUCCUUAGUAUUGCUGGCGAGAAUGUUAUUUAUACGACCCUGUCAUCAGAAUAUUUAUUCGGUGCAAACAAAGAAAAAUGACAAAGUGUCUUAUGAAUAAUAUUUUUAUUCCUUUUUUCUGUCAAACAUAAGAUGUUCUUUAAAUUAUAUAGAAAUGUCUAUCAUAUGUAAGUAGAAAAAGGGUUUAGUGAUUAUAAAUAGUGAUAAGAUUGUUUUGAAUCUAAUAAUCAAUUAUUAUUUAAACUUUGCAUUGUUAAAUUAGUCUAUCUCAUAUAAAUUUAGUUUUUGUCUAAUUUAAUACAAAAUUGUCUUUUCAAUAAUUGAAACACCUUUGUUUUAGUAUUCUAUUUUUAUCCAUUCGUCUCUUGAUUGACCUUGUAAACGCCCAUAUAUACCUAGUGAUAUCAUCAGCUGAUUUAAUUCAUAUAAAUAUGCAAAUCUUUCAAGGGAAAAAGUUCCAUAAACACUAGUCAUCACAAAUGUUCUCUUUGAUUGCCAAAUCAGUGUUGUGUUCUCUUAUUCCCAUCAAUAUUUGUGCUUGCACUAUUUUUUAUAUUUAUUUACAUUUUGCAGACGUUUGACUUCUUGUUAGAUAUGUUAUGUAACUUAUACGUAAAAAAAAAUAAUUAUCCGGGAAUGACAUUUAUUUCUAAACCUAUUCAACCACUUUUUAAGUGACCGUAGACAUUACACGAAUCAUUAUGUCACCAGAUCGAGCAUAGUUAUCGUAGAUGAAUUCACAAUCAUUUAUAAACUGCACCAUAGUGUGCAUCCACGUAUGUAGAUUUGCAUUUUGUGUUUAAAAUUUGCAAGAUGGCCACCUUUAUCAUUGAAAUGUCACAAAUGUGAAUAAUCGAUAAAAAGUUCCAAAUUGAAUGAAAUUUUCAGGAAAUAUAACUGGUAAUUUUUUGAAAUUUCAAAAUGACCACAUGUGUCAUAGACGCAGUCAAAAUGAGAUGAAAAUAGAAAUUGUUCCUUCUUUAUUCAAAGUUAGUCACCACUCACAGAUACGAACCUAAGUUUUACAACCCCGGAAUAAGAGUAUGACAAAAAUAAGUUGUAAAGAAAUAAUUCGUUAUAAUUCAUUGUGAAUUUUGAUAUCAUCACUAUGUAUUUAAUUAUAUAUGCCUCGUGCACAAGAAAUAUACACGUCAAUAAACCGUGAAAGAAAUAUGAUGCUAUGUAGUUAAGAAUAUAACAUCUAGCAGAAAAGUGUGUGUCGCAUUUUUUUUCCUUUUUCAAAAGCAUUUGUCUCGUAGUUUACCAAAAAAAAAAGGUUUAAUAUAACCAAACAGACUUUACACUGUGAAGUGUAGGCAAGUAUGUGUUCUGUUUAAUAAACGCACACUACUCUUAUUUGGCCCUCAUUCCUAUUACGUAACUUUUCACAUACCAAAACCGUAAAUCUUAUUCGAGGGAAGGAGGACAUUAUACCUUUGAUUAAACUACCGUAGUACUGGUUACCGGAACAUUGGAAACUCCAAAAUAAGGUUCUUUAUAAGUGUAAACAGGUACUGUAUUUCGAUUUUUUUCCAAAUUUAAUUCAUUUUUUUAUCGUUUAGAAUUAUUAUUAACUAUGUGUUCCAAAUGAAUAAUCAGUCGCUCACCUAUCAUUUGACACCUUUGUUAACCCCUAUAUGGAGGAACUAUGUCAAGUAUAUACUGUUUUGACCCGAUGGUGUGACGUUAAAUAAAGUCUAUCCGAAAAAUUUUGCAAAAAAUUUGCUUUAACAGGUGUAAUUGUCUGUCUAAAACUUGCAGUUAGGUGAGAGUUUUUGGGUUUUUUCUUUAAGACCUCGCUUUGACGUUGAGAUGAAGAAGUGUUUUGCUGUGCAUGUACCGAUUUGUGUCAUUGAUGUAUAGUUUAUAUCCUUUGUUUUUUAGCUCACAUGGCCUAAAUAUUAUAGUGAGCUUUCCUCAUCACUUGAGGUUUACUCUCGUUAAUUGUCAACUGUUAAUUUCUACAAUUUUUUCGCCUCUGAAACUACUGGGUCAAAUCAAUCAUCGUUGGUGUUCCUUAUUUGCAAAAUGUAUCCGAUGAUCCCACCUACCUACCAAGAUGGCCGACAUGACUUAAAAUAGAACAAGGGCUAAAAUGCAAAUUUUUCUAUUAUUUUGGAAAUGACUUUGAAAGUGAAAAGCUGACCGUAACAAAACGUUUUACAAUGUUGAGCUCUUCUUAUUGUUUAUUUAUGUCAUGCUUUCAUACGACUUCUAAUAAGAGUUAGUGCCCUUAAAGAAGGGAUCCUACCUUUUUUUUUUAAAUCUUUGCUUUUUAUCUUUAAAAAUUAUAAUAGAUAGACAGAAACUUUGAAAUAUAAAAAUGACUAUCAAGACAAGGUAAACAUUGCCGAUAUCUUCAGCCGACCUCUUAUUAGAGUCAUUGCUCUUAGCCUAUAAUGACUAUUUAUACCAUUUUUUGUGUUUUUGUCAUAUAUCUUAAAACUAUUUUAUAUAAAUAGAAACUUUAAACAGCAAAAAUUAUCAGCAAGACCAGAUCUGCAAACAAUUCACACCUGAACGAAAUUUUAAGAGGAUGCUAUUAUUUUUUUUAAAGCUAUGGCCCCUUACUAACAAUUUUUUAUUCACUAUUAUCUUGAACACUGCAAUACAUAGAUAAUUACUUUAAAUGCAUAACUGAUGACAAAAUCCACUAAUAAGCCAUAAUUGCCGAAAACUUCAGUCUACUCGUUAUAGGAAUUAUGGUCCUUUAAUGACAAUGUUCUAUCAUUUACGGAGGCACACUAUGAUUUGAAUUUUGAUUUGUAUUUUCAAAUAUAUAUUUACGAAAUAGUAAAUAGUCUUCGUAGGGUAAAUAAAAUGAUUCGUUAAGUAUGGAUCGGUAUAAAAAAACAUUUGAAGUACUGUUAUACCACUGUCCCAGGUUAGGGAGGGUUGGGAUCCCGCUAACAAGUUUAGAAGCCUGUUAUUCAGUGGUUGUCGUUUGUUUAUGUGUUAAAUAUUUGUUUUUCGUUCAUUUUUUUUUUUUUUUAUUUAUAUAUAAAUAAGGCCGUUAGUUUUCUCGUUUGUAUUGUUUUACAUUGUCAUAUCGGGGACUUUUAUAGCUGACUAUGCGGUAUGGGCUUUGCUCAUUGUUGAAGGCCGUACGGUGACCUAUAGUUGUUAUAGGCUGUGUCAUUCUGGUCUCUUGUGGACAGUUGUCUCAUUGGCAAUCAUACUACAUCUUCUUUUUUAUAAUUAAAACCAAAAAAAGGUUGGAAAAAAUGCAAAUAGUUUAAUCUAAUAAAUUACGGUAACGCUUGCUUAGAGUUAUUUCGACGCAGACACUUCAAGUGAUUUUAGACAAGUUUAAAACAAGGCGUGGUCUUAUAUGUUUUAAGACAGUAUUAAACCAAGACUUGUAAAACUUUCUUAAAAACUAUAUAACCUACUGAAACCAUGUUUAAGGUUGCAUUUCUGUAAAUUCAAACAAUGCAAUUUCAAUAAGAUCUCCCUUUUCGGCAAAACUCUGACACUUUCGUCUUAAAAUUUUGUGAAAAGUUAUUAUCUAGAAUGGAAAGUUGAUAUGCACUUCUAUUUGAUUCAAAUGCAUAUUUUCAAUAUUUAUAUGCCCCGAACUUACAUUUUGUACUACCCCUAACCUUUACUUUUUGUCUACUUCAGAAUUCAUUUAUCACCACAAAAAUAUGUUUUUAUACUGGUAGCAGUUUCAAGUUAUGUCUCUAUGAGAUGAAACAUAGAGAUAAUAUCGGGGAAACAGUAUGUCAACAAAUCAAAUUAUCUAUGAAUAUUAUAUAUCUCCCAAAAAGAGGCUUGCUUUGAGAAACAGCUUUAUUUUGCAAGUGCAACCCAUACAAACAUUUAUUCAAAUAGAAAACUCUCUUAAAACACUUUUCUCACAACAAUACUUAUUCAUCAGAAUAAUAGCCAGUUUGAAACUAUUCUGAUAACAAAUUGAAGGCAUUUUAGAAUACUAUAGAUGUAAUGUUUAGUAGUUAAUCAUUCCAACAUUCAAGAUUACAGUCCUGCCUCUGUCUCCAGUCAACAUCUCCUAUUUACUAAUGAAAGUUUACAAUUCUGCCUAAAAUGGUCAGUUUAUAUUUAUUGUCAUCUCUAGCCAUAUAUUUAAUUAUAAUUUAGCUAUUAUGAACUAGAAGAACGGUUUAAACAAAGCCAAGUAUUAUGUAUGAAGAUACCAGUCCGGUGUAUGAAUUUGAUAGAAAUGACUGCUUACAUCUAAUUUUUGCAUAACAUCUAAGCACAGUUAUUGUUUUCUAUACAAAAGACCUUUACAAUUAUAAAAUAAUAGCAUUUACAAGUAAACGUUUCUGUUUUAUGACCAAGGGGUAGGUAUUUUCCUGUAUUUUCCCCCUGGUGCCUCACAUUUUCGAAGUUUUUCCUCUGUUUCUAGCAAUGUUGAAUAUUUAGUACAUAUUUAGGAUAGCUCACACUGUUGUAAGUUUUAUUGAGGUCUUUUUGUUAUUCUAGCUUGUACUUGUUUAUGCAGCUGUCACCAAAAAGAGAACAUUUAGGUGUUACCGCUAACUUUUGGGUAAUAGACAGGAUAAAAACGCCCCACCAAUAAUAUUUAGGAAGGAUCAAUGAGUUGCAAUGACUACGAAGAGUGAAUAUAAGCAUUUCUAAACAAUUUUAAUUUCAAAUAAGCAUAUAUCAUGAAUCUAUUCUUAAUUCAGGGCUUUUAGUAAACCAUGCAUACUGUAAACUGUGCAUUUAUGCUGAUUCACCAUAGUUAAGGCCAAGGAUUUUCUCAUUCAUCAUGAAAUAUUUAUGAAACUUCAUAUUUGAGUUAAUUUCUUUAAAAUCUCUGUGAUAAACCAUAUUUUGAGAUAUUCUGUGUGUUCUCUUUUUUAAUCCAAUAUAGGUUGCAUUUCUGUAAAUAAAGACAAACUUUGACUUUUUUUAUCAUGAAGUUUCGUGAAAAAUUAUAUCUUAGAAUAGAAUUUUGAUAUGCACUACUAUUUUAUUCAAAGGUCAAAUCAUAGGGCUAAGCGAUUUAUUGUCAACAUUUAUAUACACCGAACUUGUUAUAGAGUUCAAACUUAUACUAAAAUUGUGUACUACCCCUGCCUUAACUUUUUGCCUACUUCAGAAUUCAUUUUUCACCGCAAUAGCAUGUUUUUAUACUGGUAACGGUCCCAAGUUAUGUCUUUAUUAGAUGGAACAUAGAGAUAAUAUCUGGGAACCAGUAUGUCAACAAAUCAAACUAUCUAUGAAUAUAAUAUAUCUCCCCAAAAGAGGCUUGGUUUGAGAAACAGCUGUAUUUACAAAGUGCAACCUUUAAUAUCUUUUUAAUUGUUCAAUCUUAAUGCUGGUUACUAGUGAUCGAUAGUACAUGACAAAACUAAAUACUAAAAACUGAUAUUCAAGGCUUGAUCACUUUUUUGUAUUUAGUGAAUAUCAAACUGUUGACACCAUCCGCAAAUGCAAAUGAACAACUGUACCUUUUCAGAUGUAAUAGACGAAAUGGCAAGCAGUACAUUUCCAGUUGCUGUAAUUGCAAAAACAGUGCGGCUACCACAUGCCGCCAAUUGCGAGGAAUUCUGGCAAUUGAUGAAUGAUGGUGUUGAUACUGUUAAAGAUUUCCCAGCAUCCCGAGCCAACGACAUUAAACAUGUACUGUCAGCGUAUGGGGACCAGUUACUUGAUACAGAAAAUCCUUUUUUUACUGGAUCGUUCUUUGAAUCAGUGGACAAGUUUGAUUCAGAUAUGUUUCAAGUUAAUUCCAGAGAGGCGCUAUUCAUCGAGCCAGAGCAAAGAAUAUUUCUCGAAACUGUCUGGGAAUUGAUAGAAAAUGCAGGGUACGCAUCAAAAAUAAAAGGCUCGAACACGGGCGUCUAUGUUGGAAACACUGUGAACAAAUAUAAAUUUAUACUUACAGAAAACCAUCCCAGUAUUUCACACGGAAAUCAUUCUCCUUUCAUUUCAUCAAGAGUGUCAUAUACCUUUGAUCUACAUGGGCCUGCCAUGAUGGUAGCCACUGGAUGUUCAUCGUCUCUUUUAGCAGUACAUUUAGCAUGCCAAGCACUUCUAUCAGGCGAUUGUGACAUGGCCAUUGCUGGAGGAAUCACUCUUGAUCUACUUCCUGUUAGUGUCAAAACUGAUAUAUGGAAUCAGCUUGGUAUCACCGGGCAACAUGUUAAGUGUAGAGCUUUUGAUGCUUCUGCAAAAGGCAUCGCUAAAGGGGAAGGGUGUGGGGUUAUUCUGUUGAAACCCUUAAGCAAGGCAAUACAAGAUGGGGAUUACAUAGAGGCAAUCUUAGAGGCAACUACUGCAAAUCAGGAUGGUCAUUCUAACGGUAUUACAGCACCACAUCCAGUGGCACAAUCUGAAAUGCUCGAAAGAGCGUAUGCAUUAGCAAACAUCAACCCGUAUCAAAUAGAUUAUUUCGAAGCACAUGGAACCGGGACAGAAUUAGGUGAUCCGAUCGAGAUAUCUGGCAUUACAAAGGCAUUCACUAAACAUCAACAGGAUCCUUCAGUGGAAUGUAAGAAAAUACCUAUAGGUUCAGUUAAAGCAAAUAUAGGACAUUUGGCAGAUGGAGCAGCUGGUAUAGUUUCCCUGAUUAAAACAAUUAUAUGCAUGCAAAAAUACAGGAUUCCAGCAGCUAUCAAUUAUUCAGAACCGAAUCGUCAUAUUAACUGGUCGAAGUCACCUGUAUAUGUCAAUACAAAUACACUUGAUUGGUUACCAAAACCCGAUCUGUCUGCACGAUUUGCCAGUGUUAGCGCGUUUGGACUCCUAGGAACGAACAUUCAUGCAGUUGUUAAAGAAUACCAUCAUGUUCCACAAACUUUAGACAACGAAAACCCCGUCACGGAUAAAGAAGUCAUGCUGUUUGCAAUGGCAGCAAAAACAAAACAAUCCCUCUCUUUGUUUGUUGAAAAGAUGAAAAAGUAUUUUUUGACAAAUUCAAACAAAAGUACAGAGAAUUUGAUGAAUGCAUGUUACACUAUCAAUACUGGACGAGCACAAAAAAAAAUGUUAGUAAGAGCGGUUGCAUGGGGAACAGAAUGGCAAGAAAUGGAAAACUCUUUAACUGGACUUGAUGCAAUGCUGAAAGUAGAGACUAAUGAUUUGCACGCCAAAGAUCUGACAUUUUCAAUUUUGAAUGAGGAUUUGAAGGAUAAUGCUUGUUUUGAAGAAUUGAAUAAUGCUAACAAGCAAGUUAUAAAUAGUUUUCUGAAAGGUUGUAGUGUGGACUGGACAAUACUGUACUCGCAACCAGGUAGAUUCAAGAAAAUUCCAGACCUACCAACUUAUUGUUUUGAUCGCACAAGAUUCUGGCCAGAAUUAAAGUGUCCUAUCAAUAGUGAACUGUUGACACUUGAACACCAAGCGCUGAACGUCAAAAAAGUAUCGAAAGAAUCCAGUAAAAAUCUUGAACCACAAGAUGACAGCAGUUUACAAUCUGCAGAAACCUUCCUACAAAGUGCUUUAAACAAAGCUUUGAACGUGAAUGUUAACUGGGAUACUGUAUCAGAUAACUUAUAUUCUUUUGGAAUGGACUCUCUUAUGUUUGCGCAAGUAUCUAUGCAGCUGCAAGAGAAAUUUGGUUGUAAAAUAUUGAUGACCGAUUUCCAUGAAGAUCCUUCUUAUAAUGGCCUAAUAAACUUAGUACAGAGAAAUCUAGACAAAACAUGGAUCAAAAGGAUCAGUGAUAACUGCCAUAACUUAAGUUCACUACAUCAUUCUUCUCAUUCCAACGAAUGCCAAGAGAACAAUGAUCUAUGUUAUCCGAUUUCAUUUGCCCAGAGGCGACUUUGGGUAAUGCAACAAAUCACUGCAGAUCAAUGUCUCUAUAAUGCAACAAACUGUAUAAAACUCAGUGGUGAAUUUCAUUCAACAGCCUUUGUGAAAGCUGUUAAUGUAGUUUUAGCCCGCCAUUGUGCAUUUUCGACCAUUUUUGAAGACAGGGGUGAUGGUACUGUUCAGAUUAUAAAAAGAGAUAUGGCUUUUCCAAUACAAGAAAUUAAGUUAGACACUCGGGUACAGGAUCCAGAUAUUGAGGUCAUGGAUUUAUACAAACAAGAUUAUAAAACUCCCUUCGAUCUGACAAAAGGGCCUCUUUUUAGAUGCAAACUUUAUCAUUUGCCAAAUAAUUCCUAUUACUUCACAAUGGUAAUACAUCAUAUUAUUUUUGAUGGUUGGUCACAUUUUAUUUUCUACAAUGAAUUAUGGUCCACAUACAAAAAGAUGUGCGAAGGUGGUGACUACGAUACCUCAAUACAGAAACCGUUGUAUGCCGAAUGGGCUUACGAGGAACAACAAAGUACCAGUCUACCGAAAUCAAAGUUAUCUAAAGAUAUGUCAUACUGGAAACAGAAGCUUGCAGGAGAACUACCACGCACCACAUUUCCAGGAGAUAAAGUAAGACCCAACAUGUUCACAAACAAAGGAAAAAGAAUUACAACUUUUAUUGAUAAUACCAUUGUUGAAAAUGUUCAGUUAGUCCAGAGAAAUCACACUUUAUUUUCAACCCUUCUGUCAUGUGUUUUUGUAUUACUGAAAAUUUAUAGUGGAGAAUCCGAUCUUAUCAUUGGAACACCUGUUGCUGGUCGAAACAAUUCAAAACUAGGAAACGUUAUCGGUUGUUUCAUUAACACAUUAGUCCUUCGAGUUCAGCUUGAAGGUCACCAGUCUUUCGAGGAGAUAGUCCAAAUAGUUUCCAAUACAUUCAUGCAAGCAUACGAUCACAUAGAUGCACCCUUUGACUAUCUUGUGAGCCAAUUAAACUUACCGCGGGACACAAGUGAGACACCAAUAUUCAGCAUUAAUGUCUGUUACCACAAUACAGAAAACAAAUCCGAACACGUCUCGCCGCCUGAAGGACUUCACACAGAGAGAAGACUUUUGCAUAAUGAUACUUCAAAAUGGGAUAUGCAGUUCGACUUUCUCCAGGAAAGAAGUGGUAUGCGAUUUACAUUAGAAUAUUAUAGCGAUGUGUUUUCUGAUGUAUACGCACAGAACAUUGCAAAUAGUUUUUGUCGCUUACUUGAAAGUGUUAGUAAACCAUCUACCAACAUGCUACAGGAAUUAGCGACUGUUAUAUCAUCAGAUUCGCCCAUAGAUCUAACUUACAGUUCGAAGUCAAUUCUUUGUGGUGAAACCGUUAAUCUAGAAAAUCAAACGCUAUCAAAAAAGUUAUUCACUAGCUUUAACAAAAACGAAGAUGAUGUAGCAUGUUUUGAAAAUGAGAUUAGGUACAAGUAUGGUUCUUUAUUAACACAUGCAAAACAAUUGACAGUACUCAUCAGAAAACAUUGUGACAUUCCACAGCGUUCUCGUGUAGGACUUUUGAUAGAUAACAGCUAUUAUGCAAUUUUGGCAAUGAUUAGUUGUAUGAUCAGUGGAUUAACCUAUGUUCCAUUGGACAAGAACAAUGGCAAAAACAAAAAUCAGCAAGUUUGUACUGAGGCAGAAUGUAAAAUAAUCCUCUUUGGUCGUUCACAUUUAUCAAUUGCAAACCAUUUGCAAUGGGCAUGUCAUGCAGUUAAGACCAUAGUAUGCUUAGAUGCCGACAACUUUGCGGGACUUGAUGAAAACCUUGAUUCACCUUUGAUGGAAAAGGAACUAUGGAACUCUGUAGCCGAUGAAGCGAAAAAUGAUAUUGAAGGAGGAGGUUGGAAAAGUUCUUAUACUGGGGAAUACAUGACCGAAAAUGAGAUGAACGAGUAUGCAGAAAAUGUUCGCAUGAAACUGCAAGAUUAUCUCUUCAAAGAUGCGAGAGUAUUGGAAAUUGGUUGUGCAUCAGGAAUAACGACAAAAAAGGUGAGGCCACUUGUAGGAUUCUAUUUAGCGACUGACAUCUCACAAAUUAUGGUCAACAAACUUUCAAAACAAUACAAAGAUGAUUGUAAUUUUCAAGCUAUUUGUGUCUCAGCUCAUGAUGUUCACAAGCUGGUAGAUCAAAAUUUCGAUGUUAUUAUCAUAAAUAGUGUCGUGCAUUGUUUUCCUGGUCAUAACUAUUUCAAGAAAGUAUUUGCGGCAUGCGAAAAUCUACUCAGUGAUAAUGGUGUUAUUUUUAUCGGAGAUAUCAUGGAUUUAGAUCUGCAAACCAAUUUGAUAACAUCUACAAAAUUGUUCAAGGAAAAAAACCCGAAUUUAAGAGUAAAGACCGAAUGGAACGACGAGCUUUUCCUUUCGAAAGACUUUUUGAGCAAUAUUUGCAACAAUUCUGAAAAGAUACAAAGUGUGACAUUUUCUAGAAAAAUAUACACCAUAUCAAACGAACUUACCGAUUUUCGAUUUGACGCAAUAUUUACAAAUGUUUGUAACCAUCAUAACAAGAAGAAUGACGUCAACACAUAUGCUGCAGGAAAUAUUCGUUCUCAGAAUCCAAACGCAUUUGAAGACGAAUGGAUAGAUGGGAUAACAUUUUCUGAUCAGGCGUACAUUUUAUUUACUUCCGGAACAACUGGAACACCAAAAGGAGUCAUCAUUAGUCAUGAAGCUUUACUAAAUUACGUUCUUUGGGCAGCAAAAACAUACAACUUUACGACCGAAUCUACGAUUCCUUUCUUUUCGCCACUAACAUUCGAUUUCACUGUAACAAGCAUUUUCCCACCAUUGCUGAAUGGAAGUAAAAUCAAAAUUUUUCCGAACUUUCAUGACUCGUACGAAGCAAUUGCUUUGUCAAAUGAUCUCACAAUUGCAAAAUUUUCGCCUCUACAGUUAGAGACCAUUUUGGCUACUGCUAGACAAUCAAUCAGCAUAUCAGAUUUCAUUUUAGGAGGUGAAGAAGUUUCUCCGAAACUUCUUUCGGAUUUAAAAUGUAACAUGAGUGGUAAAGAAUUUAAGGUGUGGAAUGAAUAUGGACCAACAGAAGCAACAGUUGGAUGCAUUUUUAAAUGUUUCAAAAGCUCUGAUAUUCCAGUUAACCAGUCGAAUUUUGUAACAAUAGGAAAACCAAUACAAAAUGUGAUUGCUGUUGUUGUGAGAAAAGAUAACCUUCAAGUGCCAAUAGGAGGCAGAGGUACACUCGCUAUCGGAGGUAAAUGUCUUUGUAUAGACUUUACCGGCAUUGGUAUACUCAAACAAACACAGGUUAAAGAAUCUUUCGUUUCGGCUGAUUUCGGAAGACCCGGGGAAGUAAUGUUACUAACAGACGACAUUGUUGAAUGUCUUCCAAUGUCUGGAGAUUUGGCGUACUUCGGUCGGGAAAGCAACAGGACAUUAAAAAUCAAGGGAUUCAGGGUCGAUUUAUUAGAAGUGCAACACUCCAUAGAAAAUGAGCCUCUUGUUAACAAAGUAUGGGUAUGUUCAUUUUUAUACAAACGUCAACAUUACCUUGGAGCAGCAAUUUUGUAUAAGCAACUUACGCAUGAAUCUCAUCGAUCAUGGGUUAGUAAAGCUAAAUCAUCACUGAGGAGUUGUCUUCCAAUUCAUGCUAUUCCAAAUGUCUUUAUCCAAGUUAGCAAAGCCCCUCUGAAUGCGAACGGGAAAAUAAAUACUCCUUUAAUUCAGAGGCUCUGUAUUGAUGAGCUACAGUCAACCAUCGAGAGACAUGAUAUCUGUGAAACUAACCCCCAUGAAUCUGAGAUAGAAAGACAGAUGAAAGAAAUUUGGCAAAGUGUACUUCCAAUUAAUCUUUCCUUUUCACAAGAAACGGAAAGUUAUUGUGAAGACCAUAGGAUUUUCAAGCCUACACCUAUAGUGCAUAGCUAUAUAUCGGGAUAUCGUAUGAACCAUGAUUUGUUUUCAAUGCCAGCCUUAUUGCGAUUUGAUAAUCCAAUAAGCAUUAACAUUUUACGGUUAGCUCUACGAUGCAUCAUGAUGAAACAUGGAUCACUACGAUCUAGAUUCUACACAAACAAUAAUGUUACCUUACAGGAAAUUCUUCCACUGGGAGAAGAUCAACCGAGAAUCGAAAAGAUUGAAAUGAACCAAAAUAAUACCAGUAUGUGGAAUGAACCUACCUUCAUUGAACUUUCUGAAAGAUUAGAGAAAAGUCAUUCUCUAGCGGAUGGUAUUCUGUUAAAUGCAGGCAUAAUUGACAUAGCAAAGCCAUCAGGAAAAACAGAACACUUUUGUCUUGUGGUAAUACAUCACAUUGCAAUAGAUAUAGUGUCAUGGCAGCAAGUUUUAGAAGAUUUAGCAGACGCCUUUAAUCGUCUAAGUAAUAACCCAACUAACCCACCAGCUCUAAAAAGAUGUGUUUUACCAUUUGAAAAGUUUUGCACUUCCUUUCAUAAUCAAAGUAUAGAAAUUGCAGAAUCAGAGGUGUUGUAUUGGAAAGAAAUUGGAGUAAAAUGUCAGAAAACUGGUCAGCUUAAACCGAACAACAAGUCAAACAACUUUUUAACAGCAAAAUGGAUAGAGUUCAUGGUUGAAUCAAAAGAUGUCAGAUCUUUGGCAAUUUCAAGUGGAUGCUCCGAACAAAACAUUUUGUUAACAGCAAUUGGACGGAGUAUGUGUAAAUUGCAUGGAAACAAUAGAUCAUCGCUUUGUAUGGAAAGUCAUGGAAGAAAUCUUAAAGAUGUUGAUUCUACAGACACUGUCGGUUGGUGCACAAGCAAAUAUCCCAUAGUUUUAGACACACCAUUAAAGGAACAAAUUCAUACGCAAAUGAGAAAUAUUUCGGAUUAUAUGAAUAAUAUUCCAAACAGAGGGAUAGGAUUUGACAUGCUGAAGUCAAGAGGACAUAUAUCUUUAUCGUAUCCAAACAUAAUGUUUGUGUACCAAGGGUCACUGGAUGCUUCAACAAAGCAAGUUUUUGAUGGAGGAAAGUACAAGUUCGAGCACAUUCCUUGGCUUGAGGUAAUGAAAACACAUCUGCUUGAUGGACGAUUUCACCGGCAACUAGAUGAAGUUAUGGAAUUUGAUUUAGAAAUUAUAUCAUGGAUGCACGGAGGAUAUUUGACCGUUGGAUUCCUUUUCGAUUCAUCUGCAUUAAGCUCAUCUCUUGUUGAUAGCCUUAUGCAACAUAUGCAGGACGAAUUAAAGACAAUGAAUGAUGAAAUAAUUACUGAAUCACAGGAAACAUGUGUUCAGGUAAGAAAACCAUACAUUAAUGACAGAACUGUUCAAAGUGGUAAAGUGGAAAUAAUAUCAGCAAUCAAUAUAGAUCCAAGCUGCAAACAUUUGAUUUUAGAAGCUUUGAAAUAUUGCAAUUUACGUCUUGAUGAGUUGAUUAUUCAUCAACAAGAGAACUUCAUGCAGUCGCUUUUAAGACACAAAAAUGCUCCAUCAACAAUAUUAGUGGUUAUCCCACGUCAUAAAAAUGAGAUUGAGCGGGAUCAAUUUAGCCUCCUAUGCAAUGAUUUAAAAGCUGUUCACAAAAUUAUUGUAGUAAACACAGACAACGUUUUUAAUAAAAGCAAACAUUCAUACCAGUUGUCACAGGGUAUCAAAGAGAUCAUUCUGCCAGAGGAAUUUACAACCAUAUUUUAUGACAGCGAAUCAGAUAUAAGAUAUGGUAUGCCAUUCACUCAGGAAGGAUAUAGACACUUUGCAUUACUUAUUGCUAGAGCUAUUCAUAGCCUUAUCUUCAAACGAAAACAUAAGGUUAUUGUUGUUGAUGCAGAUUAUACAUUAUGGCAUGGUGAGUGUGCCCAGGAAAGGGUUCAAUCAAACACAAGAAAUUUGUGUUUACAGCAGUUCUUACUUGAACAAAAGAAAUAUGGAAUGGUUUUGGCUGUUAUUAGUAAAAAUUAUCACAAGGACAUCGAACGUGCUUUUCAAAACUUGGAGUCGGAUUGGUCUCUAAGACUGAACGAUUUUGUAUCAAUUCAAGCAAAUUGGGAUUCAAAAGUACAAAAUAUUAGGCAUCUUGCCACCUUGUUGAAUCUUGGACUUGACUCCUUUAUUUUCAUAGAUGACAACAGUCUUGAAUGCGAGGAAAUGAUAUUGUCUUGUCCGGAAGUACUGACACUUAAGUUCCCAAAUGACGAAAAGCUUGUUGCUGCUUACCUACAAAAUUUCUGGUUUUUGGACGGUCAUGACAAUACCAUCGAUACAGCAGAUAGAACAGAUAUGUACACACAAGAAUUUAAGAGACAACACGCUAUUUCAAAAGUAGACAUAAAGUCGAAAUCAAGCAGUGAGAUGAUGACCGAGCUACUUCUCUCUUGGAAAAUGAAACUGUGUAUAAUGAAAACAACCAAGAAAGAUUUAUUACAAAAUGCAGGACUUUAUUCCAGAUGUAAUGAGUUACUUUUCCGGACUAAUCAGUUUAAGUUGAACAACAUACAUAUAUCUUUAGACGACAAAUGUGAUGAAACACAAAUCUGGGUGAUUUCGCUGACCGAUAAUUUUGGAUCAUACGGCGCAAUAAGCAUUUGCAUUAUCGACAAAAUUUCAGACUAUGAUGCUAUUGUUAAACAGUGGGUUGUUAGUUGCAGAGCUCUAGGGCGCUUUGUUGAGCACAGGAUAAUUGAUGAACUGGGAAAACAAACUAACAAGAAGAAUGCAGUUACGAUGGCAUUGCAAAGCACAGGUCGAAAUAUACCUAUUUUGAAUUUUCUCUCAGGUUUUGGUAUUGAAAACGUCUCAGAAGAGGUUAAAAGAAUAAAGAUAACUCUUAAUCAACCUGAUUUUGACGGUUAUUGUGAGAACCUUCACGUUAUGGUCAUUACAGAUGAUAUAAAUAAUGAUUCUUUUAGAAAUAACCAUACUCCUGAAAACAAAGAACAUCAUAGAAAUAUAUCUUCACUUCAAGGAAGUACGCUUACCGAUGUUCAGAAGUGGAUAGCCAAUACUUGGACACGUUUACAACAGGAACAUACUUUACAACACAACUUGUUUCCCAUUAUACCAUUUGAAACAUCAAACAUAUGUGCAGCGUUUUCCCCAGUCCUUCAGAAAAACACGGAAGAUCUCCAAGAACUUGUUAAACAAAGUUGGAUGGAAGUCUUAUGCACACAUCAACCCCCAGCCGAAAGUGACGAUUUUCUGCAAGCUGGUGGAACAUCAUUUUUAGCUGUAUUUUUAGUAUCAAAGUUAAGACGAGAAGGUAAUACUGAAAUUAGUAUCAUUGAUAUACUAAAACAUCCAAUAUACAAACAAUUUGUAAAUAUAGUUUUAAAUGCACCAAAAUUGCACGACAUUCAAGUACAAAAUACAGAAAGCUGUUAUUUGUCUACUGCACAGAAAAGGAUGCUCAUUAUGCAGGAAUAUUCUCCCAAUUCUACGGCUUAUGUGGAAACAAUUGCGAUGAAAACAAGAAAAGGCAUCAAUAUCGACGACGUGUUUAAGAACAUCUUAUCACUACACCCAGAGUUAAAAACAGAAAUUCGAUUGGUCAAAAACAACAGAGAAUACACAAGGUGUAUUGAUUCCAAACGUGAACAUAAAGUCAUCUAUGAAACUGUAAAACAGAAUAAUGACAUUGCAAAAUACAUUUCAGAUACAAUACCAAAAAUGGAAGUCAUAUCUUCUUCUUUAAUCAGGUGUCGAUACUUGCAAACACAAACCUCAGAUUGUUUAGUUUUUCAUGUACAUCAUAUUGUUUCUGAUGAGAUAACUUUACGAUGUCUAAAACAUGAUUUGAAAAAAAUACUGAAUGGUGAAGACGCCGACAAAUGUUCGAAAUCAUUAUCGUAUUCGACAUAUGUUUCCGCGGAAGAGCAAUAUUUGAAAAGUAGGGAAUGCUUAUCUGAUGAGUCAUUUUGGAAAGAUCAGUUUGAAACGCUACCACCAGAAGUAAAUUUGUCACUAUUGCCAAUGUCAGAAUCAAUCUGGAACGAAACUAUUCCAUACAAAGCAAAACAUUUACACAGUUAUAUAACAAAUAGCAGUAAAACUCGCAUUUCAAAAAUUACUAAAGAUUUGGGAACCACCGAAUUCGUAUACUAUUUCGCCUGCACAUCAAUUGUACUACAACGAUAUCUUGGUGUUGAUGAUAUGACGUUUGUGGUGCCUGUUACACUACGAGACGACUUGCACCAAUCAACGGAUGGAUUGUUUGUCAAUACUUUGCUCUGUCGGGUAAAUUUUAACCCAUCAUUAACAUGGCGACAAUAUAUUGCACAUGUUGAAGAAGUCUUACUGUUAGCACAAAAGUCUCGUGCAUACCCAUUAGAUAAAUUAGCACAAAUGUUAUGGACAACUCACAAGAAAAGCAUUAGUUCAUUCUGUUCUCUAAUGUUCAAUUACAGCAGAACCAACACUGAGAAAGACGAGAUUAGGGUAUACUCUAAACAUGCAAAGAUGUCGUUAAGUAUAGAUAUAAUUGUUGACGAAAGGAACAAACAGACAUCAGUUUUGUUUGAAUGGGCAGAAGAUGUGUUAGACAGCACUAUAGUUGAGCGAAUAAGUAACAGUUUGACUGAACUUUGUUCCAGGGAUACACCAUUGGAUCAACAACUAAAAGUCAUGGACAUUUUAUCGUCAUCAGAGAUACAAUUGCUGCAGAUGUUCUCUGUAAACGAAAUUCCGAACGACAGUCAAGUGUUUACGGAUAAGAAAAUGCAUAUACAGUUUGAAAUGAACACAGAAAAACAUCCAGAUAAUACAGCUGUCGUUUGCGAUGAGGACGUUAUCUCAUAUCAAAAUCUAAAUAAGAUGGCAUCACAAAUCGCAGAGGGUAUUUGUACAGAAAUAAAUGCGGACAUUUUGGAGUCAAAUCCUGUGUUAUUGUUUACAAAGAAGGACAUAUAUUCUGUUGCAAUGAUAUUGGGCGUUUGGAAAUCCGGUGGACACUUUCUUCCAGUUUCUAUAUCAAACCAGAAAGUUUUAAAAGAUAUAAGUUCGCGAAUUACACCAGCAGCAAUUAUUUAUCACUGUACCGAUGAAGAUUAUAAAACAGUGAUAGAAGCGUCCUUCACCUGUCCAGUUAUGAAUGUUGAAACUCUUAUUGAAAAUACAUACAACCGCUUCCUCUGGAGUCAGGAAGCAUCAAGAAAAUCAGACAUUGUAGCAUAUGCCAUUCAAACGUCUGGAUCUACAGGUGUACCAAAGAUGUGCAAAAUUUCCCAUUGCAACCUCAAUGUUGUUUCCCAUGCUUGGAAGACUGUGUAUAAUAUGGAUAAAUAUGAGGUAAAUGUUUUUCAAUGGGCACCAGUGUCAUUUGACGUGUUUGUUGGAGAUCUCGUGCGUUCAUUGAUUUGCAUGCCUGGCAAACUUGUUCUUUGUCCAGACGAACGACGAUUGGACGUUUCUUACAUUCAACAUCAGAUAAAAUACCAUAAUAUAACUUUCAUAGAAGUGACACCGCAUUUUGCAUCACAUUUGAUAGAAGACAGUAAUGCUUCCGAUUUCGAAAGUUUAAAAAUUUUAGUUCUGGGGUCGGAUGCUACACACAGUCACAUAUUUGAAAAUAUAAAAGGAAUCUUGAGACCGGAUCAGCGUGUUAUUAAUAGUUAUGGAAUGACGGAAGCUACUAUUGAUUCUACAUAUUUUGACAGUGAUAAUGUACAUUGUACAAGGAGUGGCACAGUUCCGAUUGGAAAGCCAUUACCAGGAGUAUCACUUCAUGUCCUAAAUACAAACACUUUACUUCCAUCUCCUAUAGGAACUAUUGGUGAACUCUAUAUUAGCGGAAACGUCCUUGCGUCUGGUGAUACUGAAAUUGUUGAAAUUGGAAAAGAGAAAUAUGCAUUAAAAACCGGAGAUAUUUGUUGCUGGUUACCGUCUGGGAAUCUAGAGCUAUAUGGUAGGUCAGACGACGUGGUGAAGUUGAGAGGAUUUCGCAUAAGCACUUUAGAAAUUGAAAAACGAAUUAUUCUCAAAAUAAAAGACAUCAAAGAAGCAUGUGUUUCCGUUUUAAUUGAUAACAAAUCAAGUAACACUCAGUACCUAUGUGCAUUUGUUGAGAUGUAUCCAAAUCAUUCAGUAGAUAUGAACGUUAAUAAGAUAAAGCAAAUACUUUCCAGUGAGUUACCUUACUACAUGGUUCCUGAUUUAGUUCACUUUUUGAAAAAACUUCCAAUUACAAAACAUGGCAAAAUUGACAGGAAAAGUCUGCCAUCUUUAUCAAACAUGAAUGCCUUAAAAUGUAAGAGAAUAACAUGUGAACAUGAUGGAAAAGAUUCGGACACUGCUAAUGUUUUGAAAGCCUUAUUCGCAAGAGCAAUGGAUAUAACAGAUAUAAAUGUUAUAGAUGUUAAUCUGACAUUCAUGGAGAAUGGAGGUCAUUCUUUAACAUUAGUUCGAUUUUGUUCUCUUAUUAAAAAGGAGACAAAAUUCAAAAUAGGAAUUGCUGAUUUAUUUUCGUAUCCAUCUAUCUUGACUUUGGCUAACCAAAUUGAAGGCAAACAAAUAUUGGAAUCAGAAAACAAAGUAGCAAAUGAUGAUUGUUCAACAGAUUCUGAAGAUAUAGUAAUAACUGGAUUGGGACUCCGUCUACCUGGUGGCAUUAUGUCUUUACCGCAGUUAUGGGAGGAACUUAAGAAUGGAGAAGACCUAGUGCAACAAUUUCCGCAAGAAAGGAUUUCAGAUUUUAAAGACUGUUCUAAAUCUAUUCCAACCACAGAUACAUAUCGAGGGUCCUUUUUAGAUCGAAUAGAUCAAUUCGAUAACGAUUUUUUCCAUAUUCCUCCUGGUGAAGCAAAGUUCAUGUCUCCAGAACAAAGACUGUUACUGCAAGUAGCAACAGAGGCCUUACUCGAAGGAGAAAACAUCAGUAAUGUAAAUGGGGCUAAUAUUGGUGUUUUUCUCAGUACUAUUGAUAUUGGAUAUUCACAGCUUAAUUAUCCAGAUGAAGCAAUCUGCGUAUCAGGUCUUUUACCAGGAAUGGUUGCUACACGUAUUGUGUACCAGUGGAAUUUAAAAGGACCAAGUAUGCUUGUCGAUACAGCUUGUUCAUCUUCAUUAAUGGCAUUAAAACAUGCAUGUCAAGCUAUUAAAAAGAACGAAUGUGACGGGGCGUUAGUAGGAGGUGCUAAUCUUGUGAUUUAUCCAGGAAGAACCGGCGUCUUUGGAAAUGCAGGAAUUCUUUCACCAGAUUUUACCUGUCGACCUUUUGAUGAAAAUGCAAACGGAACUGUCGUUGGUGAAGGUGUUUUAUGUUUAUAUGUGGGAAGAUUAAGUUCAGCAAUAAAGCAAGGCAAACAUAUCUAUGGUAUUGUUAACAGUGUUGCAUCAAACAGUGUUGGACACGGGAACGGAAUCACAGCUCCGUCUUCGACCUCACAGACUGAUGUCAUACAUAAAGCACUCCUGGCUGCCGGUAUAAAAGCCGCAGAUAUUGGUUAUAUUGAAACACAUGGCACAGGCACAAAGCUAGGGGAUAAAGUAGAAAUAUCAGCUUUAUCAUCAAUAUUUAAAGAGAACGUAGCUAUUGGUACAUCAAAGAGUAUGUUUGGACAUUUAGACACGACAGCUGGGUUACUUGGACUAGUGAAGGUGUUGGCAACAUUUAUGUUCAAUAAGAUACCACCAUCUGCAAAUUUUAGAAUUCCGAAUCCAGAACUGAGAGAAUCCGCUUUGUCUGUUGUAACCGAAAUUCAAGAUUGGGAAUGUAACAGUUCGGGAAAACAAGUUGCUGGUAUUAGCGCAUUUGGCUUAACUGGGACGAACUGCCAUGCAAUAAUUUCAAACCAUGAUGCAAAAAGUAUUAAAAAAGUGAGAAAACAGCAAAGCUUCCCGCUGUUUUUCCGAGGCAAGUCCUUCCAUCAUAUACAAAAACAAGCCUGGCUGUAUGAUUGCCUUAUCAAAGAAACAAUGCAAAAGGCAUCUCUGAAUUCCCUCGAAGGUAUGUGUUUAGUAGUUGCCAAGAGGUUUCACCAAAUGUGUAUGGCGAAUGUUGGUCACGGUCAAUUUCGUUUAGCAAUUGAUGUAAAAACACCACCACAAGCAAUACGCUUAUUGUCUAUUGUACAAUCGACAUCGAAAGCGGAAGAUUUUAUACAGAUUUGUAAAAUCCGCAGCGACAUGCACGUUUCAUUUCCUGGCACAUGCAUAGUAAAUUCGGAGAUAAACUACUUUAGAUCCUUUAUACAUGACAAUCAGAUUGACAUUUCCGAUAUUUUUGAAGAAGAGAUUAAUAAUGUGUGCCCAGCAUUUGGUGUAACAUUGGCUUUGUUUGAAGAAAAUCGACAUUGGCUGGAUCGAAAAACCAGACUUGUACAAAUCGAAAACCUGUAUGAUCUGUUGGACAGAAAGGUAUCAGAAAGCAAGGAAAUUAUAAGGUCUUUACCAUUAAUGGCCACAGACGACCUAGCAUACCUUCAAGGCAGAUUUUGUUCAUCUGUUAUUAUAAAACUUCUACGUACUACAAACCUAUCCACUCAUGUACUUAAUAACAGAAGCAUAUCUCUGAAAGAAUCGUUCGAAAUCACAGGCAUGCUAGAACAGUACGAUAAAUUAUUUUUUGUUAUGAUAAGGGAGCUUUUAAACAACGGAUUUGUAAGAGCAACGGGAAAAGACGAAACAGUAUUGAAAUUGGAUUCAUAUUUUUUUAACUGCAGUGAUAUACUUGAUGUUGAUCCAACAAACGUAGCUGAUCAUGCCAUGAAAAAAUACCCUGUUUGGGCAGACUGUUUUCGAUUUCCGUUAUAUUGUUCACAACACUUGCGUAGUGUUUUAUGGGGAAACAUGAGCCCAUUGUCAGUAAUUUAUCCCCAAGGCGAUUUAAAUUUUAUGUUCCGAUUUGAUAAACUUGGCGAUCCACUUGGAGACGUUUACUACAAUACAUAUAUGCAGACGAUAGCAUCGUACGCUGACCAACUUACUGGAAGAGAGAAGAAAAUAAGAAUAUUAGAAGUAGGUGCCGGUAUGGGACAUGUAACAAGACAGCUUCUUCCAAAGUUUACAGACAUAGGAAACAUUGAAUAUUGGUUCACCGACCUCGGAAAAGCUUUCGUUGAAAAUGCAAAGAAUACAUUUGAAAUAUAUUCGCACUCUAUGAAAUUUUGUACAUUUGAUAUAACAAAAUCUGCUCUAGAACAAGGCGUUAUCGGUACGUUCGACAUUGUGAUUUCCUACAAUGUUAUUCACACAACUGACAGUAUCAAAACUUCUAUUGUGAAUUUGAAGUCAUGUUUAGGGGAAGACGGUACCUUGUUCAUAAUUGAAAGUGCAAAGAACGAAACAUGGGCAACAUUAGCCUGGGGUGUACUAGAUGGAUGGUGGUUUUUCAAAGACUAUGAUCUUAGACCGUUUGAGCCUAUGAUGGAACCUGAGAAAUGGGAACACAUUCUGUCUGGUAUGUAUUAUUUUUUGUUUAAUUCUAUGAAAAUAUGAAAAAUUGAUGUACAAUUAUAAUGAUAUAAGCUUCGAUCAGCUAUUUCACACGGUCUGACAAAGGAUUCACGAAUAUUUUGUCACUAAUAUAACACUUUGGUGUGUGUAUUUAAUCAACGAUGCAAUAAAUCAAUAUUUUUGAUUUUGAACAAAACUAUAUUUUUGAAUCCAUAUAAAAUAGAAACUUGUACGAGAGUCUUACAAGAGCGUUCAGCAACUUAAAUGUUUGUCGUUUGAACUCUGGUUGUCCCAUUGUCAAACACAUCGUUGAUUGAUGUCCAUGUUUAGUGUUUAUAUGUCCGUUCGGGGCUCAUAGUCAUUAUUGUUUAUGGAUUUGUUUUUUUUAUUUUAAUGAUUAAUUGUAAAAAGAAAUAAGACAAUUAUAUUUUUUUUUUAAAAGAGGCAAAAGAAACCAAAAGAAAAUUCAAAUUCAAAAGUCUAAUCUAUCUGGCAAUGUUAGGUUUAUAAACAAAGCGAAAAACGACAAAUAGACCUACAAUGGUACACAGAACACAAUAUAUACAGACUGAACAACACGAACCCAACAAUUGCUUUGGUGGAUAAGCCCGAUAGCGUGACUUUAAUGCAUUCGACAGUCUCGUACAUAUUUUUGUUUUUCUUUUUGAAUAAUAGGAAUAUUUGAAGAAAAAAUGUUUACCUUCCAUGUUUGAAUUGAAUGGAAACUACGUAUACUUAAACUAUCAAAAUAUUCCAUAUCAAGUGUGGAAUGGUUAUCGAUUGUAUUCAUCCCUCGUUUUCUUGUGUAAAAUGUAUUUUAUAAUUGGAUACUGCUUGAUGAAUACACUCCUUAUAGAUUUUAAGUUAAUUCAUUCAUCCAUUUUACAAAAGGUUUUAUCGAAAGUCAAAUAAAUGAUCGAUGCACAUUCAAGGCUUGUUGAAACGUAUCUUGUUGAUGAAAAGUAAAUAUUGUUGAAAGGCAAAUUAUGUUGUUCCUUUUUAUUUGCUAUGGGGAAUUCAGUAUUUAGGGAAUCUAUUCAUAAAUACCACAUUAUACCAACAAUUAUAAUUAAUGCGUCAUACACAAGUAGAACAGAACGUUAUUAAAUAUUAACGCUCAUUUGGGUGUUAUAUACCAUUUAAAAGAAAUCGCAAAGGCUAAAAAUGAAAUAUAUGAAAUAUACAAUAGAAUAUAUUAUACAUCAGAAUUCCUAGGAAUAUUGGUUUAAAAUUAUGUUUAUAACUAAAUAAAUUGUACGUUUCGAAAAAUAAAUGUUUUAUUCUUUAAAAGCAUAUGAAAAGAGUAUGAAAUACUUCUAGAUAUGUAAGCUCUGACAGCACAUUAUUUUGUAGAUAUUGGAUUCGCAUCUAUUGUAUCUUGUCCAUUUGACGAAGAAGACCGAAAUGAAGUAGAAAAAUUUUUGUUUGUUUGUUGUGUCAAACCAUUGAAUGUAUCCGAGUCUCGCAGAGCACGUUGGUGGGAAAAUAUUGAUACAGAUUUUGAGAAUAAAAUAGAAUUAGAAGAUGACGCUGACAUUGACUUAACUGAUACCAAUUUGUCUACAGAACAGAUUGUGCAAAACGAAUUAAAACAGAUUUGGUCUGAACUGUUAGGAGUACAAGAUAUAAAUCCUGAGGAUGAUUUUAAUUCCCUUGGUGGUGAAUCGUUAAUUGCAGUUCAAAUGAUGACACUCGUUCGGAAACGCAUAGGCUACCAAUUGGAGAUAGCUGAUACGUUUGGAUACCCAAGUUUAGCUGCUUUAGCCAAUUUUAUUUUCUGUAAUCUAAAACCAAAAUUAGGCAAAAGUCUCGAUAAUGAUGUUGUUACUGAACGUGGAAAAGAUAAUGUUUUGCAAACAGAUUCAUGUUCCUUUAAAGAAAAUAAGUCAAGCAAAAUGCUGAUGUUUCCAGGUCAAGGGUCACAAAAAGUCGGAAUGUGUCGUUCAAUGAAGGAUAGUGCUGAAGCAAGAUAUGUUUUCAACAGAGCAGGGAAAAUUCUUGGUUAUAACAUUCUUGACGUUUGUCUUCAAAAUGAUGAAGAAUUGAGCGAGAGGCUGAAAUCAACUGCGUUCGUGCAGGUUGCCCUAUUUGUAGGAUGUUUGGCUAAAAUAGAGCAGAUUAAGAUAGAAAAUCCACACAUUUUAACAAAUAUCAACUGUGUAGCUGGUCUUAGCGUUGGGGAGUUUUGUGCGCUUGUAUACGCCGGUGUUUUAAAGUUUGAAGAUGCCCUUAAAAUUGUAAGGAAACGAGGACAAGCAAUGGAAGAGGAAGCGAAUAGAUCAUCAACGUCCAUGGCUAGUAUUUACGGUCCUCGCAUGGAUCAGCUUCAACAUUACUUGAAGAUCAAUUUUAAAUCGUUAGAAAUAUCCACAUAUUUAGGGGAUAAUCAACACACAGUUGCCGGGGCAAAUGAUGACAUAGAUUCUUUUGUUGAUUAUUUGAAAUCAAAAGAUAAAGAAAGUAUGAAUGUUAUUGACGUUCGGAAAUUACGUGUUGCAGGAGCUUUCCAUUCGAUGUACAUGAAGAAAGCGACUGUUGUUGUUGACCCAUUAAUAGAUUCAGUUGAAUUUCAAAAACCUCGCACACCUGUUCUUAUGAAUGUUACUGGGAGUUUUUCAGAAGAUACUAAUGAUAUAAAAGAACAACUUAAAAAACAACUAGUUGAACCUGUACAGUGGAGAAAAACGAUAGUAUCUGCUUAUGAAAGUAAUGUUAAACAAUUUAUGGAGGUAUCUCCAUCUAGAGUUUUAACAUCUAUUGUGCAAAAAAGAAUUACCGAUUGUGAAGGAUGUCUCACAGAUUUUGUAGAAGUAUAGGCAGAUUGAAUUAAAUACUAUCAAAUUACUAUCAUUUUUUUGUUUGAUUAGAUUAGUUGUAACAAAUACGAUGUUCAGUUGCUAAUGUAUGAUACUUUUUUACACAUGAUAAAAACAUGACUUGUUAAUUGCUAUUCAGCGUUUUUUUUUUUUUUCAAAAAAUGUUCUCUUGAAAUUUAUACAUUUAAAUAUAUAAAGUCAAGGGGUUAUAGUGUUUAGUAUUUACAGAAUAUAAAUGAAAUGAAGUUCGAUUUGAUGGGUCUAGUUUGUCUUGCAAAAUAUUGCGUUCAUUUGUAAUUGCAUUGUAAAUAUUGUAUCUGUCCAUGCUGAAUAGUAUUGUUAAGCAAUUUAUAUAUGUAUAUAUACAUGAUUAUCAAGUAUUUGUUUGAAUCACAUUUUGUACACAUACUUAUAUUUAUUGUAUCAUUAAAGCAUUUGAAUUCAGUUAAUUACCAUCCGUUUGUAUAUAUGUGUGUGGAGUUUUUUUUUGAAUGAUAUGAAUGCACAAUGUCAGUUGUCUCACUGUUGAUAGUGGCUUUGUAUGUCAUGUAUUAUAAAUGUCCGUCUUAAUGUUUUAGCUGUUAUAUAUUUAAGACAGGAUGCUUAUGAUAUAAUAUCAACUGUUAUAAAUAUGAUACUAUAAUUAAUAUUUGUUAUUCUAAAUUUCUUAAUUUUUGUAAAUAAUAUAGGGAAUAACACCUACAUGUAGUUGAAUUAAUUGACUUGUUCAUCAAUUUAUAAUUGAAAUUAUUUAACAUGAUUGUGUUGUUUUCUUAUAAGUUAUAACCAAUUUUUGUGGAGUGAUGAAAACUUCAAUGUUCGUGGAUAUUUAAAUUCGUUGAUAUGGCAAAUUCUGCAUACAUUCCUUUUGAAAAUGUGUAUUUCGUUAGACAUUUAAAUUCGUGUUUCCCCUGUACCCACGACAUCCACGAAAAUUGAUAUCCAAUGCAUAAUCCACAGUAUACCUUUUAAGUUUUUGAAUUAUAUCAAGAUAGUUUCUCAAUGCCAAUUUUAUGUAAAUUUGUUAAUGUAUUUAAAAAUAAAAAGAUUACUCUAUUUGUUAAUUGGAGAGCAUAUUGUGUAGAUAAAUUGCUGUAAUAGUGAAGGAAGGUUUCAUGUUGUUAAAUAUGACAUUAAAAAGAUGUUUAACAUGUCCAAUUAAAAUUUUUCAAUUUUGCAUUUGCUAUUUUAAAUUUGCCUAGCUCUGUUCUGUUGUACAUGCUUAUCAAGUUAUCAUUUAAAUAAUAAAACAAAUCAUAUAAUCCAUGAUGUAUAAUGUGUAUUAAUGCUUUUGCACCAAAAUUCAUAUGAUAAAUUAUUGUACAAGUUAUAAGUAAAUUUUUGUCCAUUUUUGUACAAAUUGUAAUUUGUACAAGCACUUUUUGUACAAAUUACAAUUUGUACAAAGUCAAAAUACAAAUUACAAUUUGUACAAAGUCAAAAUACAAAUUAUAAUUCGUACAAUAUUUUUGUACAAAUUAUAAUUUGUACAAAAUGAUAACUUGUACACAACAUAUACAGCACGAUGGUCAUUUCACAUGCAAGUACUAGAAACUCGAACUUAAGAUAUAACACAAAGACAAUAAUGAUCAGUUGUAUUUCAAUUUGAUUCUUCUUUUUUUUAAAUCAAGUAGCAUUAAUGUAGAGAUGUUUAGAACAAAUUAUAUAUCACCAAAUAGUCCUUUUUCAUACAAAAUAAAUAGUCAGUUUGAUUUUUUUUUCACAUAAAUAUUUAGUUUUUCUUUUUAAUUUGUAUUCUCUCGCAAUUGAACUAUACAAUAAAUCAAAACACAUGAAAUAAUUUGCAGCAGAAACACUCUAAAUUUUCUUAGAUUAAUAUGUUUAUUGUAAAAAAAUGUUAAAUGCAUUUGAUUCAAAUAAUUUGACAUUGCAUCUCUGCAUUGUAACAAUAAUAACUUCCAUGACUUUGAUUAGUAUGCAAUAUGUUUAUUUCAAAAGAUUUGAACAAAACAUAAAAAUUUGAUCAUCAAUACCAUUUCUCUAAAAGAUAUAUUUUUUAUAAAAUCAUAUCGUCGUGCUAUUGAAUGUUUCAGAUAAAUGAUAAGUUCAUUUAGAUUAUAUAUUUUUUUUAUUUUUGGGUGUUUUGUUUUUCUUCUUCAUCUGUUUUUAAAUUUAUAAAUAUAUAUUCAUAUGUGUGUUUGAGUGUUUGUGUGCAAUUUCUGUGGAUAUGUGUUACCAAUAUGACGUAUUGUCAGAACUUUUAUAUAGCCUUUUCAUUUAUGUUUCAUAUUAUUAAGUGUUGUUAUCAUUUAUACACGCUUAAAGAACUACAAAUAUGAGUAACGAUAUUGAUAUUUGAAGUGGUGAAAUAUUUGCAUCUUUUUUUUAAAGAUAUAAUGUCAUCCUUUAAGUAAUCACUUAUUUAAUCAAAACACCACUUAAAAAUGUGAAGAUAAAACACACGUCUAGUGUACUUAAUCAUAAGCCUUAUGUCUUUAAUGGUAGUUCUUUUUAGUCGCUGCAAACAACUUUACAAUUGCUCUGAUUUAAUAUAUUUCGUUAUAGUUUUAGUGUUCUAUGUAAUUAACAACUUAUGUACUGAUAAACAUUAAUCAAAAUUUGUCCAUUAUAGUGUUGAUGUAAACUUUUUAACAGACUGAUGAAUAAAUUAAUUAUGAACCGCCGUCUUCGUCAGAAAGGUCGAUGACGUUUUUUGAGUCGUAACAAAAUAGUUUUACAACUGAAUACUGCAGUACUUAAUGAUAUACUUAGGUCAAGUUUAGCAAUUUUUGUCAGAUAUUCGGACUAAUUUGAUUUUCUGCCAUGAAACAGGAUUAAAUAUUUACCUCAUAAAACCCAUUUUUCCUUGUGUACAAGACAUUUAUAGCUCAUAAAAGUUCAUUUACUAAGACUUCAGCAGAUUAAGAUUUAUUUAUUUCGAUUUGAGACCCGAAUAAUACUAAUGCAAAUAUAAGGUUACAGUCCGAGUCAGUCUUUUCCCACCAUUUGAAAAAAAAUCUCGAAAAGGAGCUCUUUAAACUAAUAAUAUAUUUAGCUUAACUUAUUUCUUAUGCCCUCCUGACUUAUAGUAUCAAUUCUAAAUUCUACAUAUUUUUCAAUUUCACCUCAGUUCAUUCUUUAAUUAUACUGAAACAAGAAAUAAAAAUUUCGAUUUUUGUUUUCCUUUUAACCAUAUAAUAGUACAAAAACCUCUGCAUUCUUAAAUGAUAACAUAUAUAUAUAUAUAUAUUAUAUUAACUAUACUUUUUCACUUUUUUGGUCUUUUGGAAAAUGUUGUUUGUGCUGUAUUUAGACCCUUCUACAACGAAUUUGUUUUACAUGCACACGUAUACAAAUUGCGGUUUUUAUCCAACGCAAUCAUAGGUUUGAACGUAGUUUUCAAUUUAGACUCGUUUAUAUAUAUUUAUAUAUAUAUAUAUAUCUAUAAACAGUGACUUAAGUAUAUUUAUGUUUAAUAGGAAAAUAUACCGCAUUUUUUAAUGUGUAUUAUGUAUUAAAUUUAUGAAAUUAUCUUUUUUUUAUUCUAUAUGUAUAAUGUCUAAAUUUGUUGUAAGAUGAAAGUUAAAUAUUUUUCAUCUAAUUUAUUAUUGUUAACAUAUAAACCAUACGAUGUGAAUGAAUUUUCUAUUUUAAAGGCAGAAUUGCAAGUUAAUACGCAGCAACUCUGUUAUCGGAUUGUUUAGAUGGUGAGUAAAACUUAGUACUUGCUUGAAAAUUGUAUACAAUAGUCCUGUCCAGACAUUUAAUAAGUAAUUUAUGGUAAUACAGUUUGUAAGCACAGAUUUUGUAUUUAUUUACAAUUUUUUUUAUUUGCACAUCGAAAGUAUCUUUAGUUCUUUGUUAAUUUUUUUAUGAAAAAUUGACGAACGGGUAGAAAGUAUCAAAGACAAUAUACAUAGGUGCAAUCAGAAUUUCAAAAUACAGAUGCCAUUAAACGAAAGAGACAAACCAAAUAACAUGUAUACGAACAAAAUAAAAGAGGAUAACUUGAUUGAAAAGCAAACGCACUUAACGUACUAUAAACAAAUUAGAAUCCAUGAAAACAGGAUAUGGGAAAAUUUUACAAGCCACAACAUUUUAUUGUCAACCACCUUUAAAAUUCUAAAAAAAUAUCCCAAAAAAAUUAUGUCCAUGUUGAUGAAUAGAGUAGUUCAUAAAUAGUGAGGUUACAGUCAUAUACAUUGAAUAGUUUAUAAUGCAUUAAUCUAUAUACGUUGUAUGUUUUACAAUGCUCAAUAUAAGCAACUUUGACCUCAAUACAACCUCUUUCUUUCUCUAACAUAAAAUAGAUGUUGGAUGAUUGACAAUUAGACAACCAUCUACAAUAUUUCAAACGACGAAGAUAUAAUCAUUUUUCCACACAAACAUCAGAUGAUCAGAGAAAAUGUGGAGGUGGGUUGGACAUUUGACGCUUCCUUUUCUCAAAUCUUAACAAAUAUCAAUAGCGUGUAUCAUUCGGAACUGAUAAACAGUAACAAUCAACAAUGAGUAAUACACAAUUAAUAGACUGUAAUUCAUAAUUUUUUUUCAGAUAAUUAUUUCACUUUAGCUACGAAUCAUACAAAAGGGACAACGUUUCAGAAAAGAAGGUAAUUAUUACUCAGUUUCAUAUAGAUUUAACAAACAAGGACAAAACUGAGUUUACAUAGCUUUUUCAACUGAUUUUUAUAGUUCGUUCUUAUGCUGCACUGGUAUACUACUGUCCCAGGUUAGGGGAGGGUUGGAAUCCCGCUAACAUGUUUAACCACGCCACAUUAUUUAUGUAUGUGCCUGUCCCAAGUCAGGAGGCUGUAAUUCAGUGACUGUCGUUUGUUUAUGUGUUACAUAUUUGUUUUUCGUUCAUCUUUUUAUAUAAAUAAGGCCGUUAGUUUUCUCGUUUGAAUUGUUUCACAUUGUAAUAUCGGG